ACGAACGCUGGCGGCGUGCUUAACACAUGCAAGUCGCACGGAAAGGCCCUGCUUUUGUGGGGUGCUCGAGUGGCGAACGGGUGAGUAACACGUGAGUAACCUGCCCUUGACUUUGGGAUAACUUCAGGAAACUGGGGCUAAUACCGGAUAGGAGCUCCUGCUGCAUGGUGGGGGUUGGAAAGUUUCGGCGGUUGGGGAUGGACUCGCGGCUUAUCAGCUUGUUGGUGGGGUAGUGGCUUACCAAGGCUUUGACGGGUAGCCGGCCUGAGAGGGUGACCGGCCACAUUGGGACUGAGGUACGGCCCAGACUCCUACGGGAGGCAGCAGUGGGGAAUAUUGCACAAUGGGCGGAAGCCUGAUGCAGCAACGCCGCGUGCGGGAUGACGGCCUUCGGGUUGUAAACCGCUUUCGCCUGUGACGAAGCGUGAGUGACGGUAAUGGGUAAAGAAGCACCGGCUAACUACGUG
rnacentral:rRNA from 1 species